AGCUGCAUGCGCGUGGCUUUCGUUCUUUUUCAGUGACACUGAGUCCCUCGGUUUUGCUAUUACUCUGGCUUGGCUACUCUUCUAUAAUGGUCGAGGGAUCAACGAAGGACUUGCCUAUCGUUAUUGAUUCAGAUUCUGAAGUAUCCCCAGCGCGAGAUGCAAACUAUAAUCCUCACUGUGAUGAGGAACAACAGUCUGAUGUAGGUCUGUCCAAUUUCAUAGAACCAGUCCAACUAGAUGGCUCACCGUUAAAA